rnacentral:ncRNA from 1 species
UUGAGCCGUAUGCGGUGAAAGUCGCACGUACGGUUCUGAGCGGGGAAAAAAUCUGCAAAGGUCUACCUAUCGGAAUAAAUAAAAAAUAAUACAAGUUUCGAUGUAUUAUAUGCAUCACUGAAGGGUAAUACUAUCCAUCCUAU